rnacentral:rRNA from 1 species
GGAUGAGCCCGCGGCCUAUCAGCUUGUUGGUGGGGUAGUGGCCUACCAAGGCGACGACGGGUAGCCGGCCUGGGAGGGUGACCGGCCACACUGGGACUGAGACACGGCCCAGACUCCUACGGGAGGCAGCAGUGGGGAAUAUUGCGCAAUGGGCGGAAGCCUGACGCAGCGACGCCGCGUGGGGGAUGACGGCCUUCGGGUUGUAAACCUCUUUCAGCAGGGACGAAGCGAGAGUGACGGUACCCGCAGAAGAAGCACCGGCCAACUACGUGCCAGCAGCCGCGGUAAUACGUAGGGUGCAAGCGUUGUCCGGAAUUAUUGGGCGUAAAGAGCUCGUAGGCGGUUCGUCGCGUCGGCUGUGAAAACCUGAGGCUCAACCUCAGGCCUGCAGUCGAUACGGGCGGACUUGAGUUCGGCAGGGGAGACUGGAAUUCCUGGUGUAGCGGUGAAAUGCGCAGAUAUCAGGAGGAACACCGGUGGCGAAGGCGGGUCUCUGGGCCGAAACUGACGCUGGGGAGCGAAAGCGUGGGGAGCGAACAGGAUUAGAUACCCUGGUAGUCCACGCCGUAAACGUUGGGCGCUAGGUGUGGGGCUCAUUCCACGAGUUCCGUGCCGCAGCUAACGCAUUAAGCGCCCCGCCUGGGGAGUACGG